AAUUUAAAAAAAAAACUUAAAAUUCUCUGCAGGGGGAGAAGAAAAGAACCUUCCGAGCUCCGGCCUCCGGCUUUCGUCGCCCACGCGCCAUACGCGCCACCGCACACGGCGGUUGGAAGGAGAAAAGCCCCCAUUUUUCCAGGCGAAUCACAGGUGACGACGAGAAGACUAGCGAUGAUCGGGCGCUGAUGAUCGCACACUGACGUGCCGAUUGCGGCGUGAGACGAGGGGUCGCUGACUACGGCGUGACGAUUGGGAUCAUGCUUGCGGCGCGAGUGUUUUUGGAAACCUUAGGGUUUCCUGAUUCGGUUUAAGAAUUGGGCCUUCAUGGGCUUUACUGAUUUGGGUCUAGUUCGGGUAUUUGGGCUAAGGGUUUUAGGUGUAAUGAGAUUCAAUAUAUGGGCUACCGAUGUGAUUUGUAAAUGGGCCAUAAGUAGUGCUCCAGUUGGGCUAUGUAUAUAGGCUAUCAAUUUGGACUGUAAAAAAGACUUUUAUUAUUUUUUGUUUUAUUUUUUACGGGCUGGGCAAAUUUGGGUUAUUACACUUAUUUAAAUUGAAUCAAUCCUAUAUAUAUAGAAGUCUAAAUCACUUUUUUUAAUGUAACACAUUUUUGUAACUAUUUAAACAAAA